rnacentral:rRNA from 1 species
UACGUAGGCAGCGAGCGUUGUUCGGAGUUACUGGGCGUAAAGGGCGCGUAGGCGGGAUGGUAAGUCGGUCGUGAAAUCCCUCGGCUCAACCGAGGAACGUCGAUCGAUACUACCGUUCUUGAGGAUUGCAGAGGAGACUGGAAUUCCCGGUGUAGCGGUGAAAUGUGUAGAGAUCGGGAGGAACACCGGUGGCGAAGGCGGGUCUCUGGGCAAUUCCUGACGCUGAGGCGCGAAAGCGUGGGGAGCAAACGGG